rnacentral:rRNA from 1 species
AGCGAACGUUAGCGGCGGGCCUAACACAUGCAAGUCGAGCGAGAAAGUGGCUUCGGCCAUCAGUAAAGCGGCGGACGGGUGAGUAACACGUAGGUAAUCUUCCCUUGAGCGGGGACAACGUUUCGGAAAGGAACGCUAAUACCGCAUAAGUUUCCGAGGACUCGUGGUUCGUUGGAAGGAAAGCUAGGUCGCAAGAUCCGGCACUCGAGGAGGAGCCUGCGUCGCA